rnacentral:rRNA from 1 species
CGAUGAACCUCCUUCGGGAGGGGAUUAGUGGCGAACGGGUGAGUAACACGUGGGCAAUCUGCCCUGCACUCUGGGACAAGCCCUGGAAACGGGGUCUAAUACCGGAUACUGAUCAUCUUGGGCAUCCUUGGUGAUCGAAAGCUCCGGCGGUGCAGGAUGAGCCCGCGGCCUAUCAGCUUGUUGGUGAGGUAAUGGCUCACCAAGGCGACGACGGGUAGCCGGCCUGAGAGGGCGACCGGCCACACUGGGACUGAGACACGGCCCAGACUCCUACGGGAGGCAGCAGUGGGGAAUAUUGCACAAUGGGCGAAAGCCUGAUGCAGCGACGCCGCGUGAGGGAUGACGGCCUUCGGGUUGUAAACCUCUUUCAGCAGGGAAGAAGCGAAAGUGACGGUACCUGCAGAAGAAGCGCCGGCUAACUACGUGCCAGCAGCCGCGGUAAUACGUAGGGCGCGAGCGUUGUCCGGAAUUAUUGGGCGUAAAGAGCUCGUAGGCGGCUUGUCGCGUCGGUUGUGAAAGCCCGGGGCUUAACCCCGGGUCUGCAGUCGAUACGGGCAGGCUAGAGUUCGGUAGGGGAGAUCGGAAUUCCUGGUGUAGCGGUGAAAUGCGCAGAUAUCAGGAGGAACACCGGUGGCGAAGGCGGAUCUCUGGGCCGAUACUGACGCUGAGGAGCGAAAGCGUGGGGAGCGAACAGGAUUAGAUACCCUGGUAGUCCACGCCGUAAACGGUGGGCACUAGGUGUGGGCGACAUUCCACGUCGUCCGUGCCGCAGCUAACGCAUUAAGUGCCCCGCCUGGGGAGUAC